rnacentral:rRNA from 1 species
GAGUUUGAUCAUGGCUCAGAUUGAACGCUGGCGGCAUGCCUUACACAUGCAAGUCGAACGGUAACGGGCCUUCGGGUGCCGACGAGUGGCGAACGGGUGAGUAAUGUAUCGGAACGUACCUUUCAGUGGGGGAUAACGUAGCGAAAGUUACGCUAAUACCGCAUACGAUCUACGGAUGAAAGCGGGGGAUCGCAAGACCUCGCGCGAGUGGAGCGGCCGAUGUCAGAUUAGGUAGUUGGUGGGGUAAAGGCUCACCAAGCCAACGAUCUGUAGCUGGUCUGAGAGGACGACCAGCCACACUGGAACUGAGACACGGUCCAGACUCCUACGGGAGGCAGCAGUGGGGAAUUUUGGACAAUGGGCGCAAGCCUGAUCCAGCCAUUCCGCGUGCAGGAUGAAGGCCUUCGGGUUGUAAACUGCUUUUGUACGGAACGAAACGGCGAGCUCUAAUACAGUUUGCUAAUGACGGUACCGUAAGAAUAAGCACCGGCUAACUACGUG